rnacentral:tRNA from 1 species
AUGGCCCAACAGGUAGAGGCGGCCGCUCACGCUCAGACUCUCGCUCCAGGUUCAGCAUUCGCCGCCGUGCGCCGGAUCGACCGAGGGCAGGCAGAGAUCGUCGGGUGCGGGUUCGAGUCCCGCUGGGCGCUCCA